AUGAAGGGGACGGAAGCACGUGGUGAUCUUCAGAAACCUGUGACGUCACUUCCUAUCACUUGGCCUAUCACUCACCCCAGGUUAAGCAAUCCAGAGAGUGACCCCAUGUCCUCCCAGGAGCAAGUCUGCUGCUGCAGCCUUCAAGCAUGUGUUUGCCCCCUAAUAACGCUGGCAGUGGAAAGCACCAGUCAUCUGGGGAUGAGGACACAGGCAGCAAGAAGAUUAAAUGAGAUACUGAACAGAAAAGGCACAGUGCAUGCAUCUGUGGAGGACUCAGUAAGUAGUGUCGUGACCUAAGGGUGUGCCUUUAUUCCUGUAUGUCUUAUUUUAUUUUUUAAUUGAAGCAUAGUUGAUUUACGAUGUUGUGUCAAUGUCUGCAGUACAGCACAUGACUCAGUCAUCCAUAUAUAUAUAUAUAUAUAUAUACACAUAUACUCUUUUUUAAUAUUAUUUUCCAUCAUGGUCUAGCCUAAAAGAUUAGAUGUAGUUCCCUUUGCUAUACAGUAAGACCUCAUUGCUUAUCCAUUCUAAAAGUAAUGGUUUGCAUUUGCUAACCACAAAUUCCCAGUCCAUCCCAUCCCCCCACCCCCCCGCUUUAGCAACAACAAGUCUGUUCUUCAUGUCUGUGAGUCUAUUUCUAUUUUGUAGAUAGGUUCAUUUUCUCAUAUUUUGGAUUCCACAUAUAAGUGAUGUCAUAUGGUAUUUGUCCUUCUUUUUCUGACUUACUUCACUAAGUAUGAUAAUCUCUAGUUGCAUCCACACUGCUGCAAAUGGCAUUAUCUCAUUCUUUUUUAUGGCUGAGUAGUAUUCCAUUGUAUAUAUAUUCCUGUCUAUCUUUUAACAUAAAGCACAUGUGAGAAAGUGUGGCUUGGUGAUGAGUCAUAAACGAUUGCACUUCAGUCAUGCAGUGGUGUUGAGUUGGGGCUGAUUUUGCAAUGUAAAGCCUGCUAAUGCAUAUUUGCAGUUUGUGUUGUUAAUGGACAGAAAUGGUGUGGGUGAGGGAAUAAGUUACUGCAUAAAAAUGCCAUGCCUCCAAGGAGCAGGGUUUAGACGACAAAGGAAUCAUCUAAGGGUGACUGACAGAAAGGUGCCUGUGGGAAUGAGGGAGCUUGUGCCUUGUGCCCUAAGACUGUAUUUGUUGAGAGUUUUUCUCUGGAG
rnacentral:lncRNA from 1 species